UACGAAGGGUGCAAACGUUGCUCGGAAUUAUUGGGCGUAAAGCGCACGUAGGCGGCUCUGCAAGUCGGAUGUGAAAUCCCACGGCUCAACCAUGGAAGUGCAUUCGAAACUGCAGAGCUAGAGUCCUGGAGAGGAAGGUGGAAUGCUUGGUGUAGAGGUGAAAUUCGUAGAUAUCAAGCGGAACACCGGUGGCGAAGGCGGCCUUCUGGACAGUGACGUGACGCUGAGACGCGAAAGCGUGGGGAGCAACAGG
rnacentral:rRNA from 1 species